rnacentral:rRNA from 1 species
CCUACGGGGGGCAGCAGUAGGGAAUUUUCGUCAAUGGGCGCAAGCCUGAACGAGCAAUGCCGCGUGAACGAGGAAGGUCUUCGGAUCGUAAAGUUCUGUUGAAGGGGAAAAAGAGCGGAGAGAGGAAAUGGUCUCCGAUUGAUAUUACCCUUCGAGGAAGUCACGGCUAACUACGUGCCAGCAGCCGCGGUAAUACGUAGGUGGCGAGCGUUAUCCGGAAUGAUUGGGCGUAAAGGGUGCGUAGGCGGCCUGCUAAGUCUGGAGUGAAAGGUACCGGCUCAACCGGUACAGGCUCUGGAAACUGGCGGGCUAGAGAGCAGGAGAGGGCGGUGGAACUCCAUGUGUAGUGGUAAAAUGCGUAGAUAUAUGGAAGAACACCAGUGGCGAAGGCGGCCGCCUGGCCUGUUACUGACGCUGAGGCACGAAAGCGUGGGGAGCAAAUAGGAUUAGAGACCCCAGUAGUC